rnacentral:rRNA from 1 species
AAUACAUGCAAGUCGUACGGAUCAAAGCUGUAGCAAUACUGUUUUGGUUANUGGCGCACGGGUGAGUAACACGUGAGUAACAUGCCCUGCAGUGGGGAAUAGCCCAGGGAAACUUGGAUUAAUACCCCAUGGUAUCGCAAGAUUAAAGGUGGCCGCAAGGCUGUCGCUGCAGGAUUGGCUCGCGUCCUAUCAGCUAGUUGGUGAGGUAACGGCUCACCAAGGCUACGACGGGUACCUGGUCUGAGAGGACGAUCAGGCACACUGGAACUGAGGCACGGUCCAGACACCUACGGGUGGCAGCAGUCGAGAAUAAUUCACAAUGGGGGAAACCCUGAUGGUGCAACGCCGCGUGGAGGAUGAAGGUCUUCGGAUUGUAAACUCCUGUCAUCUGGGAGUAAGACCUGGUCGUGAAUAGCGGACAGGGUUGAUAGUACCAGAAGAGGAAGGGACGGCUAACUUCGUGCCAGCAGCCGCGGUAAUACGAANGUCCCAAGCGUUGUUCGGAAUCACUGGGCGUAAA